AAUUUUGGACAAUGGGGGCAACCCUGAUCCAGCCAUCCCGCGUGUGCGAUGAAGGCCUUCGGGUUAUACAGCACUUUUGGCAGGAACGAAAAGGCUCUGGCUAAUACCCGGAGCUGUUGACGGUACCUGCAGAAUAAGCACCGGCUAACUACGUGCCAGCAGCCGCGGUAAUACGUAGGGUGCAAGCGUUAAACGGAAUUACUGGGCGUAAAGCGUGCGCAGGCGGUUCGGCAAGAAGGAUGUGAAAUCCCAGGGCUUAACCUUGGAACUGCAUUCUUAACUGCCGGGCUAGAGUAUGUCAGAGGGGGGUAGAAUUCCGCGUGCAGCAGUGAAAUGCGUAGAGAUGCGGAGGAAUACCGAUGGCGAAGGCAGCCCCCUGGGAUAAUACUGACGCUCAUGUACGAAAGCGUGGGGAGCAAAC
rnacentral:rRNA from 1 species